GAUGAAGAACGCAGCGAAAUGCGAUACGUAAUGUGAAUUGCAGAAUUCAGUGAAUCAUCGAAUCUUUGAACGCAUAUUGCGCUCUUUGGUAUUCCGAAGAGCAUGCUUGUUUGAGUAUCAGUAAACACCUCAACCUCUUCUUGAUUUUUCAAAAGGAGGGUGGACUUGAGCUAUCCCAACAACCUUUACCGGUCGGCGGGCGGCUUGAAAUGCAGGUGCAGCUGGACUUUUAUCUGAGCUAAAAGCAUAUCUAUUUAGUCCUCGUCAAACAAGAUUAUUACUUUUGCUGCAGCUAACAUAAAGGAUAAUUGUCCUCUUUGCUGACUGAUGCAGGAUUUUACGACACUUUAUGUGUUGUUCAACUCGAUCUCAAAUCAAGUAAGACUACCCGCUGAACUUAAGCAUAUCAAUAAGCGGAGGA
rnacentral:misc_RNA from 1 species